UACGGGGGGAGCAAGCGUUGUUCGGAUUUACUGGGCGUAAAGGGCGCGUAGGCGGUCGUGACAAGUCACUUGUGAAAUCUCCGGGCUUAACUCGGAACGGUCAAGUGAUACUGUCGGACUAGAGUACAGAAGGGGCAACUGGAAUUCUCGGUGUAGCGGUGAAAUGCGUAGAUAUCGAGAGGAACACCUGCGGCGAAGGCGGGUUGCUGGGCUGAUACUGACGUGAGGAGCGAAAGCGUGGGGAGCGAACAGG
rnacentral:rRNA from 1 species